UACGGGGGGAGCAAGCGUUGUUCGGAUUUACUGGGCGUAAAGGGCGUGUAGGCGGCCAGUGCAAGUCAGUUGUGAAAUCUCCGAGCUUAACUCGGAAAGGUCAACUGAUACUGCUCGGCUAGAGUGCGGAAGGGGCAACUGGAAUUCUUGGUGUAGCGGUGAAAUGCGUAGAUAUCAAGAGGAACACCUGCGGCGAAGGCGGGUUGCUGGGCCGACACUGACGCUGAGACGCGAAAGCGUGGGGAGCGAACAGG
rnacentral:rRNA from 1 species